rnacentral:lncRNA from 1 species
ACCACACUCUUGAUGUUUGCCCCUUCAAGGCCCUCUUGUCUUCGGUGAGCCCAUAGCCGCCAGCCUGGGAACCGAUGGCACCCACUACUGGAGCAAGAACUGGGCCAAGGCAGCUGCAUUUGUGACUUCCCCUCCCCUGAGCCCAGACCCCACCACUCCUGACUACUUGACCUCCUUGCUGGCCUGGUGAGAGCCAUGGGGAUGGGGACACAGGGCUGGGGUUGUGGGCGGAGUCAGUAGCUGGAAGCCACAGGCUAGUUAGACACACUAGAGAAGGGAGGUUUGGGGUCUACACUCAGAAAACAAUAUUCCACAUUGUUUAUAACAAUUCUUCCUGGACCUAAGGGUGUGUUUUGCUUAGUGAUAGCUCACAUUUAGUGGCCACCUGCUCCUAGCAAUUGAGUAUUGUUUAUGUACCUGCUGUGUUCUAAGCAGUUAGUGUGGUUGAUAGCCUCUAGGACUGGGCACAAGAGACCAGGAUUCAAAUCUUGCCUUUACCACCGAUUCCAUCAUCUUGGGCAUCAGAGCACACGCAAAAUCUCCGUGCCUUCUUCAGCUUGCUCAUUGGCCACAUGCACAGAAUCAGAUGCCUGCUUGUACGGGGCUAGUUGUGCCUCAGUGUGGGUGGAAAGCAGUUCAGUGAUCAGCAUCGUUGCUGGUGAUGCAUAGUAUUUUUCACACAGUAGAAGGGCAGCCACGGCAGUCCCUUCCUUCCAUCAGUCAGUGUGCGAGAAGAGGGCUCUGCAAGACCACACACUGAGCAGAGAGAGGCAGACUGCCACCGCAAGGGUGGAUGGCUGGAGCUCUGUGGAGGAGAUGAGUCAGGGCUGCACUUGGCGAUAAGGCAGGACUUCCCAGUAUAAGGAACUGUGUGGACAAACACGGGGAUUCUGGCAUAGGCGCCGUGUGGACAUCUCUGUUCCCACACGAUGUAGACACCAUUUGCUGGAGAACUCAAUUACUGAAUCAGCACCGAAGCUGUAGCUUAUGAAUGUCAGAUGCUUCCUCAGAAUAAAUAAAGAGUCCACGUCUUCCUGGGAUGUGCUCUCACAGACAUUGCCAACGUUCCAUGGCAGGAGUAUGACCUCAGUCCACAGAAACGGAUGAUGUCUCUCACCUUUGGUCACAUCCACUCUGGCUCAGUGUGCUGGUGCCUCUUGCCUCCACAGACCUCCAAAAAUGCCACCCCCCCAUGUGCUGUCCAAGGUACUUAGGUACUUUAAAUGUCAAUGAGAUCAAGGGAGGACCCCUUCCACCCAUCCCAUGAUUUCUUCUCCCAAAGUGGAGUCCAGAAGGCAAAGCAUGACCUGGAUCCCCACUCCUUAACUAGACUUCCACCUGAUCCCCGCUCCAGGCUGACUUCACCUCCCGUCUGCCCUUGGCUCUCUGCUCAGCUUAAACAGUCUCAGGCCCCUGACCCCGAGAAAGAACCAACGUCUCAGAGCCUUUGAGGUCUGCACUUUGCCCAACACUCUCUCACACGUCUCUCAGUCAGCUUAUUAACUGCGUCCAGACCUUUGCUGGAAGGUUCCUUUUCAGAGAGGUAUUGUCUGGUCGUCAGAUUUAAAACCGCAGCUCAUCUCAACUGCAGCACUCCUUUCUCCUGUCCCAACCUGCUGUGGCCCUGUUCCUACAUCCACCAUGCCACUGGUCUGUUGUCUGUCACCGUGGCCUCACGUUAUUCCAGGCACAGAGCAUGUGUAUGGUGUAGGUUUGCUAAACAGUCCUGAACAAGACAGCUCCUAGGCAUGUGUCUAGCAUCCGAAUGACCUAUGGAUCUGGAUACUAUAAAAUAGAGGGCAGCAUCAGCCUACAUGUGUACCCACCAAGUCGCGGUCCUCUCAUCACUGGUCCUGGCCCUCUAGGCUCAGACUCUAGAUGCAUCCAAUGCUCCUUGUGUCCAAAGUCUCAAUGGGCAAAAUGAAAAACCCAGAGAUCUAUGUCACUCAACUAUUACCCACGAGCAAAUAUUUGUUGUGUAAGCCCAGUAGAGAGGGCCCAGCUGCCAUAGGCCAGCAACCUCACUGCAAGAGACACAUGUCAAUGUGUGUGUGUGUGUGUGUGUGUGUGUGUGUGUGUGUGUGACUCUCUUGUGACGGGAGGAGAUGUGAGGCUUGGGUUGCAGAUGGGAGGCUCCUGAUGAUGUGCUGGCAUGUUUUGAGUUGACAGACUGAUGUUGGAUGACUGACUAUAUUAUUGUUUAUUGAGAUAGGGCUGGGUAGUUUAUUGUUUCGCAUGUGUUAGACCCUGGCUUCAAUUUUGAACACU